ensembl:lncRNA SLC66A1L solute carrier family 66 member 1 like (pseudogene)
CGGAGGCGCCGGCUGCUGGCCAACGCAGGGCAGCCUCCUGCGUGCGUGCUGUGGGUUUCUCCUUCAGUUUCCUCUCAUUGCCUGAGGUUGGGCCCGAACACGGCGGUACAUUUCCUUGAGAGUCUUCUACAUUCAUGCUGUAGAAGCUAUGAAAGUCGUGGGAAACUAUAGAGUCAACACUGCAAACUCAAGCACUGAUACGUCCGGAGAGCACUUGACCUGCCUUAGAAGGCUGAUGAAGAAAUCUUUACAUGGAAUAUGCUGUUCCCAUGGACAAGGAGAAGCAAAAAGUCUGGUGAAAACACACCAAGGCUUAUAAGACUUUCAUCAGUCCUAAGGAUGAGCAGAAGGGUACAAAUCUGCCUUUGGGAAAUACAUCUGAAAUGCAGAGAUAAACAAGUUUGCAUCUAUGAAAGGAGAAUUGGAGAGAGGGGAGAAUUGAAAACACACCAGUGGUUAGAACAGAAGAGGAAAGUCCACUGCCCUUUAAGUUGAAACAGAAGGAAAGACAUGAAGGAAAGCCUUGAAUGAAAUGAAAUAAACACUGAAACCAUACUCAGAAA